AAAGUCAGUAUUUGUAUUGGUGAAUUGGAUUUUUGCAAUAAAGUAAAGGCUAGUACUCUUAAUUGUUUUGUGAAAUUGGAGAGACAUCUAUGGUUGAAAUUUUAGAGGUGUUUAGAUGGUUGAGUAUAUUAAGUGUAUGCAAAAAUUUGUGUUAAUCUUACGGUACGGAUAGAUGAUAUUUGAUCAUUAGUAUAACGAGGUAUCAGAAGUUGACAUAUUGGAGUUGUUUAAGGUUUUU
rnacentral:lncRNA from 1 species